GGAGGCUGUUUUAAGAUAAGGUGCUCAUGGAUACAAGUAUUGAAUUUAGAAUCUUUUCAAACGUACUCAUGGGUAAGUUCUUUAAUAUUAGUUCUAAAUUCACUAUCUUACAAUAUCACCAAUGCUUUAAGACAAGAAAAUACAGGUAAGGGGAUAUUGCACCUACAGUGAACAUUCCAAUGAAGUUGUCAGUAACUGACACAGAAUAAUGUAUUGAGGGGGGAUAAAAGGGUUAGAACCAUAGGAGAAAUGUACAAAUAAUGAUUACCAAAUAGAAAUUAGUGAGUCCUCACAAGUACAAGGACAUAUGUGCUGACACAAUAAGGAAUGUAUAGGCCCAAUGAAUUCAGUAAAUAAGUUGCAGAAUACUUGAGAAACAUGAUGUUUUAUUUUCUUCCCACAGAUUUCACAGACUGGCAAAAUUUUUUUUAAUGUUUCAAUGCUCAUUUCUGAGGAGGGAACAGAUGGAUGGUGGUGGGGUGCUCAAAAGUGUUUUGCAAAUUACCUCCCAAUCAAACUUACAGAUGCUCAAAAAAUAGCCAGCCCUCACAGUCACCACGGCCAAGAUCUUUGCAAGAAAUUCGUCUUUUGCUCUUGCCAGCUAUAGGACCUAAAGAUAAAUAGAGAAGACUGCUGAAAUGUCUGAAAUCAAAGAUAAGGAAGAACGUUAUCUGAUACUCAGGGCACUAUCGGGAGUGCCAGCAUGCUGCACAGAACUCAAGAGCUAAAGGAUGGCUCUGAACCCCAGUCAGAGAAAGUACUUUCUCUUUCCAAAGCCUCAAAACAAAUUCAUAUACAUCAUGCCACUGAACUUUCUAAUCUCCCACGAAGCAGGAGAGGAUAUUAUUUUUGUCCUUAUUUUGUAGGCAGAGAAAUUGGGGCACAAAGCAGUAGUUGAAACCAAGGGCUCUUACAUAUGCAUACAUAUAUAUUCAUACCUUUUUUAGGGGUUUAUUGUGCUUUCCCAGGCAAUAUCUCAUUUGAUUUUCUAACAAACCAUAUGGAGCAGGCAGGCAAAGAUGACUAUCAUUUGUUCCUUUGAAGUUCAUUCUAUUCCAUAAGCCACUAUCACCUACUGGAUCUCGUAGGCACUCCCCCUCAGUCACUAACUAUUUCAGCGCUUGGAUCAAUAUUUUCUUCUCACACCUACUUCUGUCACUAUUAAUGGUGACUAAUCUUCAUGUAGGGGAUGUCAGCACCUUGGCUCCUCAGUCGCUCAUCUCCAAUGAUCUUUACUUCUCCAACCCUCAGCUACCCACCCCCAUGACCAUAUGUUUGUUAUCUUCAGCAUACUCCAACCACUGCCUCCAUCAUCUACAUUUUACAUAGUCCAAUACUCCCAAUCCAGCAAUUUUUAGAAAAUCUUCAUUGAGGCAUCCAAUUCAUUCACCUUACCACUGUUUUGUGCCUUUAUUUUUCUUCUUCCGCUUGGUUUCCAUGAGAUAUCAUUACAAUCAUUCCCUUAAACCACACUCCUUGCAUCAUACUUGCCUAGUUCAACAACCACGCCAGUUAAACCCGCCUAUCUGUCUACUCCAUGCUAACUGCCGGAACAGCUUAAUGUCUUAACAAAAAAACCCCACCACUGUAUUGACUGGUCUAGCUUUCAAUUAAUGAUUAUAAGUCACUGGUUCUAGUCAGUCUACUAAGCCAGAUUGUUCACUGGUAUAAUAAGGUUAAUUAUAUUUAUAUGAUUAACUAACUAACAGGGUAAGAGAUUGCAUGUGUAAUUUUAAUUCACAGACAAUCCUUCAAAAUGAAUUUUAGGUAACAGAUUCUUCUUUUUCUUUACAAAGGUUAUGUCUGUACAGAGCAAUUAGAUUUUGUUCACAUAAAACUUGCUGGUCUUGGUUUUAUACUACAAAUUCGUAUUCCGUACCAUACUUUCUCAUUUAGUAUCUUUGCUCAUAAAAUAACAUCCUACUUAUACAAUCAUGCACUGAAUAAUGACAUUUUGGUCAACGACAGACCACAUAUACGAUGAUGGUCCUAUAAGAUUAGUACCUAUUGUCUAGGUGUGCAGUAGGCUAUAC